UACGAAGGGGGCUAGCGUUGUUCGGAUUUACUGGGCGUAAAGCGCACGUAGGCGGAUCGUUAAGUCGGUGGUGAAAUCCUGGAGCUCAACUCCAGAACUGCCUUCGAUACUGAGAGUCUCGAGUCCGGGAGAGGUGAGUGGAACUGCGAGUGUAGAGGUGAAAUUCGUAGAUAUUCGCAAGAACACCAGUGGCGAAGGCGGCUCACUGGCCCGGUACUGACGCUGAGGUGCGAAAGCGUGGGGAGCAAACAGG
rnacentral:rRNA from 1 species